CGCGUAGGCGGACAGUUUAGUCAGGGGUGAAAGCCCAGGGCUCAACCUUGGAAUUGCCUUUGAUACUGGCUGUCUUGAGUUCGGGAGAGGUGAGUGGAAUGCCGAGUGUAGAGGUGAAAUUCGUAGAUAUUCGGCGGAACACCAGUGGCGAAGGCGACUCACUGGCCCGAUACUGCGCUGAGGCGCGAAAGCGUGGGAGCAAACA
rnacentral:rRNA from 1 species